UAAUUAAAGGAGGUAGUGAGGGAUGGAAAGAGACACUUCAAGAGUCAAAAUUCAUAUUAGACAGUGGGUAGAGAAAGAUUAAAUUAAGUCACGUGGAGGAGUUGGGGAGAGCCCACCUUUAAAUACCAAAUCAAGAAAUCUGGGGAAAAGCAAAGGAUUCGGAGAACUGGACACCUGUCUGUCUGUCCGUCCUCCAGGCUAGGAGUGUCUGUGCUACUGGGCCAGCAGUACACAGCAGCAGGCACUCCCAUCUUAAGCAGACUGGUCACUCCUCGCCAUGCCCUCCCGAGAGAGGCCUCAGCAGACAGAGAUGGGUCAUGGAAGUAAAGGGGUGGUGGGCAAGGAGGAGACACAGCUCAAAUAC
rnacentral:lncRNA from 1 species